CCAGACUCCUACGGGAGGCAGCAGUGGGGAAUAUUGCACAAUGGGGGAAACCCUGAUGCAGCGACGCCGCGUGAGCGAUGAAGUAUUUCGGUAUGUAAAGCUCUAUCAGUAGGGAAGAAAAUGACGGUACCUGACUAAGAAGCCCCGGCUAACUACGUGCCAGCAGCCGCGGUAAUACGUAGGGGGCAAGCGUUAUCCGGAUUUACUGGGUGUAAAGGGAGCGUAGACGGCGGUGCAAGCCAGAUGUGAAAGCCCGGGGCUCAACCCCGGGACUGCAUUUGGAACUGUGCUGCUAGAGUGUCGGAGAGGCAGGCGGAAUUCCUGGUGUAGCGGUGAAAUGCGUAGAUAUCAGGAGGAACACCGGCGGCGAAGGCGGCCUGCUGGACCGUGACUGACGUUGAGGCUCGAGAGCGUGGGGAGCAGACAGGAUUAGAUACCCUCGUA
rnacentral:rRNA from 1 species